ensembl:lncRNA
CUCCCAGGUUGCAUACUGAAAUAGUCUUCCUGGUCUUCUAGGAUUUCUGUAUAAUGUAGAAAUCCAUGUCAGUCUUGGAAACUGCAUUUGAGUGAACCCAUUAAAGUUGUUAACUUAUUGGAAAAGACUGAUGAUGGGAAAGAUUGAAAGCGGAAGGAGAAGAGGGUGACAGAGGAUGCGAUGGCUGGUUGGCAUCACCGAUUCAAUGGACACGAACUUGGGCAAACUUGGGAAGACAUUGAGGGACAGAGAGGCCUGGUGUGCUGCAGUCCACGGAGCCACAAAGAGCUGGACACGAGUGAAUGACCGAACAACAGCAACACGUGAAAGUUGUCAAGCGAGAUAUUGAGAGAGCAGACAAGUGGAUGAAGCAUUCUGCCUAACGUUCUGAAGACGCAGAUUAUUAUCCUCCUGGGUUUUUGUCGCUACUCUGUUUGAGGAAGCUGAGUUGGCUGAGUGUGACUCUCACUACCACCAUAUUCUGAAACACAAAACUCCAAGGCCAUCAGUGGAAAAACCCAACAGGAAGUUGGCCAAAUCCUCACCUGUCCACCGGCCAAUACCCACUUUCACCGUGGAGAGCAGAGCAUAGCUCCGGUCCUUGCCAAAGACUCACCUAGCUUAGAAGGCUCCUGAUGUGAUCCACUCUUACACGUCCCUGCUGAGGGUCAGGUAUACAAGAAUAUCUUCUUGUUUUUCAGUUCAGAAGAGGAGCUUGCCUCGCUGCUCAGGGCCCCAGUGCCCUCUGGACUUCUGGGCCUGGUGAAUUCAAGACAUGAUUUUGCUGCCUGUUGUAUUCCAUUUUGGACACACGACUGCUGGGCCAAUUAGUUUACCUCACAAGGGACAGGAAGUUGGGUGGAUACAGAAUGAAGAAUCGUAAAAGGUGAGUUCCUGUUCCAGCUCUGCUGUCUCCAUGUCAUGGGGUCUUGGGCAACUGCCUGCUCUUCGAGGCCUCAGGCUGUUCUUUCAUACAUCUCUACUCUGUGUGUCUUACACAUCAUAGUGUUGACAGUUAACUCUGAAACAAACAUGGAUAGGUUUAAUAGAAACAUAUAAAUAGAUCAACUGAUAACCAGCCUUCAUGCU